UUAUUUAAAAACUAAAUUUAAUGUAAAAGGUGUUCCUUUUAUAGAGGGUGAGAGGGAGCCGUGUGUCAUGGCCUCCUCCAUGUAAACAAAGCGGAGAAAAAUAUUGUGAAGAAAAUUGUUAUGACUUCGUGUUGGCGUUGCUGUUUAUCAAAUCGUAAAUUAUCUGCAAGACCCAUUGUCAGAUUUAUAACCGAGUGGGGGUGCCUGUUCAACGACCAAGAGGGCCAAGAUUAUUUAUUAACGACUGCCAUAUAUGACAUUAUUAGUUGUAAUUUCUAUAAUGAAACCAUUUGCAUAUAAAACCAAUUAUACAACAGAACACUAACUUUAUUUAUGACAACUAAUGAGUCAGCUCACAACAUUUUAUGUAUACUGUAUAUAAAUUCAUAAAUUAUUAAACUACACACACAUAUAUGUAAUGAUAGUUUAAGUAUAUAACAUUUACAGGAAAGAAUUAUAUAAACUGAAGUACAGCAAUGAACAACUGAAUGUAAAUUAAUUUUUCUCAAAUAACCAACAAGACAAUAAUGAAAACUGAUGAUGUUUAUGAAAAAAUUGACACCAGAGAAAUAAUGAGAAAAUAUUCCUUCCAUUAAUAACUUCUAUAUACACAGUACUGUACUCAUUAUGUGAUAGUGAUAAUUAACUCAAUACAAUUUAAUUUUCCUGCUCUUUCCUCCAAGUUCAAUUUCUGUGUAAGGUCUGCCCAAAAUACAGUCAAGACCAGCUUACUUUUUCUACGGUGAGUCAUUGAAUGCCUAUAUUGUGUAAGCACGUGACAGUUGAGAAGGAGUGUUCACAUAUUGCAGUGCUUGUACCAAAUAAGAGACGACUCAGUGUCGACACCUAUGAGUUUAGCCAAUGGGACAAGAUUUUCCGGAAGUAAUAAACAAGUCUUGGAUUCUGGCCAACGACUAGAAAUGACUGUAAGUAGUCUAAUAUUAUGCUCACCAAACUCAGCAUUGAGUUCACCAAGGCAGUUAUCUAAAAUAUUGUAGUACAGUUGAUGAUGUAAAUCAGCUUCACUAUCAAAACCAUGAACAUUAGAAUGUCUUACAGUUGUUUUAGUCUGUUAAGUAUUGGGGCAGUUUGUGUUAUGCUUUUGCUUUUCCUGAUGGUAUUCUGUAAGGUCGUGAUGAUCAAGUUUUGAUGAGAUAUUCUCAUUGCCAGUGUUGUUCCAGAUGUCUUUAACACUACUGACAAGAGAUUCAAUAAGGUGAAUUCUUGUCAUGAAGUCAGUCAUGUGAUUGUAAAAGCUGAUCUGCAGGUCCAAGUGUCGGCAGAAAUUCCUUCACACGGUAUGCAGUAAACAUGAAUUUUUCUGCAUUUUAUCUGUUUCAAUAAUCCAGUUGCCACACUGCUGCAUCACACUCAUUUUCCUCACAUGUAUCAAGUACAUCCACCAACUUUUUGUGGUUAGCUAUAAUUGCUGACACAGUGGCUGGGUGACGUGACCACUGCUUGCUUUCCAAUAGUAUGCACUACUGUUAACCAAAUGUAGCGGAUGGUUAAAAUUUAAUUAAUUUUGCCACUUACAGUGACCAGAUUAUUGUGCACCCCAUACUUAUCCUGUGAGCAGUAGCACAAAAGAAUUACAGAGUUGAGGUCACAAGGGGUCUGGAUAACUAACCCCAGUGGUCAGGACAUUAUGACAUUGAAUGUUACAGAGUAUUUCAAAUACUGUACAUUGUUUGUUUUAUUUUUGUACAUCGAGGGUAACUUAUUCACAACUGCCUGAGUACAACAGUGUGAGGCAAUAUGCCUGGCCACACACUUUGUUAUUCGCAUUUGCAUGAGAAGUAUUCAGGCAUAUUGUGUGUUUGGUUCUAUAGAUGGGAAAUGAUAUAGCAACUGAGUUCAAAAAAGUGGAUGCAGUCUUAAUAUAUCGGCUAUCUUGCCAUUUAGAGAUAAAGUGUUGUUCAUUUCACACACAGUGUAUUUGGACCUGUCCGUAAAAGGUUCUGUCUUCACACAGUCAAGGACGUGGUAUUCCAGUUUGUGGUCAUUUGUUUGAUCACACACUUUGCAUUUAGUUUUUUUUCGCAUCUGCUUGAGGGAUAUACUGCCAGAGGUACUUAUAUCCUUAUCUUACUUUAGCAGUUCCAUUAUCUAGUUCCCUGCUCCAUAUACAUGUUUCACUUGAUACUUCUCAUCAUGGUAAACACUGUAUUGACUAAUGACUGUUUGCACUUGUCUGCUUGCAUCAAAUUCAUCAAUCUGUUCUUUCCUAGUUACAGUUUUAAGGGUUCUUUUUGACAGACCCAAAUUGUGUUUAACAGUGUCUUUGUUAGACGUGAGUUUGGCGAGGGCAUCAACUCUGUCAUGUUCUUUGAGGCCUGUGUGAGAAGGGAUCAACAACAGUUUGAUCUUGACACCUCCAUCAACAAGGUCCACAUUUGUGUCUGGCUUCACAGACAAAUGCGUGACAACUUAAGUUAAGAGCAAGCAGGAUAGAGAGUCAGUGAUGACGAGACUGUCGGUGAUGGUGAUUUAAAUAAAUUUAAUGGCUGAAAGUAUGGCAACUAAUUCUGUUUGUUGAAUGGAUGCCCACUUGUUAAUUCUAAUUCCUUUCUCAGUUACAUUUCCAUUAGGUUGAUCAUAACCUAACAUCUUCAUUUGCACCGAAAAGUGAGAUAAGUCUCCUACCAUUGGUGUUAGUGGUGGGGUCUUUUUCUUCAUCAUAUAGAUUACAGCUCCUCCCCGACUUACGACCUCCGACCACCUGGACAUUCGACCGCCUGGUGUCCAGAAGACACACAUCUGUAGCACACAUCUUCUGGGGCCUUGCAUUUUUUGGGUGGGUGACUGUACCGCUGACACUUGAAGCAUCUGGUCUGUCAUGGCACGUAAGAUCUCACUCAGACGAUGUCCCAUCCCAGUGUGACCGUCUCUGGAAGUUUGUGGAAAAAUCCAACUAGAGCCGAGGUGGAUUUUCCGUCGGGUCUCUUAAUUUCUCUCUGCGCGUCUAUUUCUUCUUCUAUGAGUUCUUUAAUAUCAUUCUUGUUCAUAUGUUAUACUUUGGCGUGGGAAAUAGCUUCCCACACCUUCACGGGGCCGUCAUUGAUGACAUUAAACGUUGCUAAGUUGUUUAGCCUGUCUCCAGUCACCGAAGGUGAGGGAGGCUGAGGACUGUGUGGCACUUCUAAGAAGUCAGCAAUGACUGGGAGGCAUAACACCUCUCACAUAACCUCCAGUGUGACCAGCCAGGAACUCCUGGUUAAGUAGCCACUUCCUUUUUUAUCAUGACCCAGUUUGUCUCCAGCAAAGUAAAGGAAUACAGAUGUAAACCUUCCUUUUUUCUCUCUCUGGUGUUAUCUCUAUCAAUACAGUACAGGCACCAUCUACUUGUAGAGGUUUUCUAUAAGUAUAUGCUGUUGUUUCUUCUCUAAAACACUGUCUGCUGUACUCGAGACUCCAGUAUUGGUGGGACUGUGUUGGCUGAUGCAUGGCUGUGUGCUCAUGAUCACAUUUGUAAAUAACUGACGGUCUUAAUUUAUAUGGAAACAAGACUUUUAUCAACAAAGUCAUUUCAUAAGUUUUGAAUAUAUUCUAUCUCAAUAUGCUGUAAAAAAAAUUGGAGAGUGAAAAUGUUUUUAUAUUCCUUGGAACUGCCAUAGAGCGGGUACCCCUACCAAUGAGUUGUUCCAAUGAUCUAGAUUGGAAACUUGAUCCACCAGGACUGCCUUUGGGUCUGUUGGUAUAAACACAAACUGCUCCAAUACUUAACAGUGACUGAAACAACUGUAAGACAUUCUAAUGUUCAUGGU